CGUUCCUACGGGACGCAGCAGGGAAUAUUGCUCAAUGGGGGAAACCCUGAAGCAGCAAUGCCGCGUGGAGGAUGAAGGUUUUCGUAUUGUAAACUCCUUUUGUUAGAGAAGAUAAUGACGGUAUCUAACGAAUAAGCACCGGCUAACUCCGUGCCAGCAGCCGCGGUAAUACGGAGGGUGCAAGCGUUACUUGGAAUCACUGGGCGUAAAGAGCGCGUAGGCGGGAUAGCAAGUCAGAUGUGAAAUCCUAUGGCUUAACCAUAGAACUGCAUUUGAAACUGUUAUUCUAGAGUAUGGGAGAGGUA
rnacentral:rRNA from 1 species